rnacentral:rRNA from 1 species
AAAGGCGAAAAGAACCCCGGCGAGGGGAGUGAAAAAGAACCUGAAACCGUGUACGUACAAGCAGUGGGAGCACAGGUUUACCUGUGUGACUGCGUACCUUUUGUAUAAUGGGUCAGCGACUUAUAUUCUGUAGCAAGGUUAACCGAAUAGGGGAGCCGGAGGGAAACCGAGUCUUAAUUGGGCGUUAAGUUGCAGGGUAUAGACCCGAAACCCGGUGAUCUAGCCAUGGGCAGGUUGAAGGUUGGGUAACACUAACUGGAGGACCGAACCGACUAAUGUUGAAAAAUUAGCGGAUGACCUGUGGCUGGGGGUGAAAGGCCAAUCAAACCGGGAGAUAGCUGGUUCUCCCCGAAAGCUAUUUAGGUAGCGCCUCGUGAAUUCAUCUCCGGGGGUAGAGCACUGUUUCGGCUAGGGGGCCAUCCCGGCUUACCAACCCGAUGCAAACUGCGAAUACCGGAGAAUGUUAUCACGGGAGACACACGGCGGGUGCUAACGUCCGUCGUGAAGAGGGAAACAACCCAGACCGCCAGCUAAGGUCCCAAAGUCAUGGUUAAGUGGGAAACGAUGUGGGAAGGCCCAGACAGCCAGGAUGUUGGCUUAGAAGCAGCCAUCAUUUAAAGAAAGCGUAAUAGCUCACUGGUCGAGUCGGCCUGCGCGGAAGAUGUAACGGGGCUAAACCAUGCACCGAAGCUGCGGCAGCGAACGUAUCACUUAAAGCGAUUCAGCGGGUUACGAUUGA